UACAGAGGGUGCGAGCGUUGUUCGGAAUUAUUGGGCGUAAAGGGCGCGUAGGCGGUGCGGUAAGUCACCUGUGAAAUCUCCUGGCUCAACUGGGAGCUUGCAGGCGAAACUGCCGUGCUGGAGUGUGGGAGAGGUGCGUGGAAUUCCUGGUGUAGCGGUGAAAUGCGUAGAGAUCCGGAAGAACACCAGUGGCGAAGGCGGCCCGCUGGGCAGUGGCUGACGCUGAGGCGCGACAGCGUGGGGAGCAAACAGG
rnacentral:rRNA from 1 species